rnacentral:rRNA from 1 species
UACCAGCUCUCCGAGUGGUAGGGAUGAUUAUUGGGCUUAAAGCGUCCGUAGCCGGCUUAGUAAGUCUCCUGUUAAAUUCAGCGACCUAAUCGUUGAGCCGCGGGAGAUACUACUAGGCUAGGAGGCGGGAGAGGUCAACGGUACUUCCGGGGUAGGGGUGAAAUCCUAUAAUCCCGGGAGGACCACCAGUGGCGAAGGCUGUUGACUAGAACGCGCUCGACGGUGAGGGACGAAAGCUGGUGGAGCGAACCGGAUUAGAUACCCGGGUAGUCCCAGCUGUAAACGAUGCGAGCUAGGUGUUGGGGUGGCUACGUGCCACUUCAGUGCCGCAGGGAAGCCAUUAAGCUCGCCGCCUGGGGAGUACGGCCGCAAGGCUGAAACUUAAAGGAAUUGGCGGGGGAGCACCACAAGGCGUGAAGCUUGCGGUUC